rnacentral:rRNA from 1 species
CGUAGGUGGUUUGUUAAGCGAGAUGUGAAAGCCCCGGGCUUAACCUGGGAACGGCAUUUCGAACUGGCAAGCUAGAGUGUGGUAGAGGGUAGUGGAAUUUCCUGUGUAGCGGUGAAAUGCGUAGAUAUAGGAAGGAACACCAGUGGCGAAGGCGGCUACCUGGACCAACACUGACACUGAGGUGCGAAAGCGUGGGGAGCAAACA